rnacentral:lncRNA from 1 species
CCAUGAUCCACUAAGAUUCAGCCCUUUGUCCCUUCGAUUCGUCCCUCCCCUCGCCGACCUUCAUUCUUUUCAGUCACCCCCCUCCAAGGUUGGGCGUGACCCGAGGCCCUCCGUCCCCCGAUCCUGACUGGGAAUGAACUUCGUUCACCCUGGUCCACCCUCGAAUCGAGCUGUGGACACCGAACCGUCCGCUGGGGGCGAGAUGUACGAGCCGACCAAGGAUCCCUCUGCUGGUCCCUCUUGGUUGUUGCCCCAAAUGCCGUCGAUAACCUCUGGCCCUUGGUUGGUCGAGAUCGGGAAUGCACUACGUAUCUUUAAGUCAACCCAUGAAACGAGCGUGCAGGAGCUCAAUCGGUUGGAGAGCCAGAAUGCACAAGCCGAAGAUCGGUCGAUCCCUCUUUGUGUGCUGCCGAUCUCGCUACCAGUCCCUCGAUCCAACUGGGGCUUAGAUCGGGAAUGAACCCCGUAUGCCUAAGUCAACCCCUGAAACGAACGUGAGGGCACUGAGUCGGUCAGAAGGGUAGGAUGCACAAGCAAGGGAUUGGCCCGAUCCCUUUCUACGUGCUGCUGUCGAUCCGACUGCCUGUCCGAUCUUAGACUGGGAAUGAACUUCAUAUGCUUAGACUAGGAAUGAACUCUGUAUGCCUAAGUCAACCCACGAAACGAGCGUGUAGGCCCUCAGUCGAUCGGAGAGGCAUAAUACGCAAGCCGGGGUUCUGUCCAGUCCCCCUCUGCGUGCUACCGAUCCCACUGCCACUCCAGCUACCACAACCCUCUGUCUGGCUGGGGCUUAGACAUGGAAUGAACUUCGUAUGCCUAAGCCAUCCCAUAAAAUGAGCGUGUAGACGCUCAGCUGACCGAAGGGGUAGGAUGCGUAAGCCAGGAAUCGACUCGAUCCCCCUCUACGUGCUGCUACCGAUCCCGCUGUUGGUUCAAUCAUAGACUGGGAAUGAACUCUGUAUGCUUAGACUGGCAAUGAACUCCGUAUGCCUAAGUUAACCCACGAAACGAGCGUGCGGGCGCUGAGCCAAUCGGAGAGGCAUAAUGCGUAAGCCGAGGAUCGGUCCGAUCCCUCUCUGCAUGCUACCGAUCCCGCUGUCGAUCCAGCUGCCACAACCCUUAGUCCACUUAGGGCUUAGACAUGGAAUGAACUUGAUAUGCCUAAGUCAAUCCACGAAACGAGCGGGCAGGCACUACGUCGGCCAGAGAGGUGGGAUGCACAAGCCUUUGAUCGAUCGGGUAGUAAGUGAGUUUAGGCACAUCUUCAUAUUUUUGCCAUACCAAUGCCAUUUUUAUGGCUUGUAAAUUCAUAUAAUGGUCCCCCUAAGCCUUCAUGUGAAGUUUCGUGGCAAGAUGACGCCUUUUCUAUUUUUCAAGAUUUUUAAAACUUUUUACGGUUCAAGAUUUUUUAAAAUUUUUUAGAAGGAGUUUUGGCCCUAAAUUUUGUAGACGCGAACCUUCUAUUUUUGUUGGCAUGCACAAAAAAAUUUAGCUAAAAACUCAAAGUGGAGAAGAUUUUGUGACCAUUUGAAAAAAGUGUCUCAAUUUCAGACACUUGAAUGGCUACUGGCAGCAAACCUAUAAAAUCUCAAAUGCUCUUUAAGGGGCUAUGAGAUCUCGAGGUUUGAUGAGGGAUAGGGAGCCAAUAUAAGGACCAAGUACCAGCACCCAUCGCACAUCAUGUGCGUACACCCCCUGGCCCCCCAAUCAUCGAAACCCCAAAGCCGUCAGUUAGGUUCUCCGAUGAUGCUCCGACGAUGCUGCCCCAGGCAAAAAAAAUGUGGUACCAGCACAUUCUCGAGCCCAGCAUGUGCACCGUGGCUCAAAAUCAAACUUUGGCCAAGGCCUCGACCAUUAAUGGCAUAUGAUGGUGCAUGGUGAUGGCACAUGCAUCGACCAUCAUCGGCACAGGCUGCCUUUUGGUAUAGGGCACUUGCCUCGACCUCCAUCGACACAAGCUGGGCCCUGGUGAAGGCGGUUGCCUCGAUCACCAUCGGCACGUGCUGGCCCUUGGUGUGGGUGGUUGCCUCGACCACUAUCGGCAGAAGAUGGGCCCUGGUACAAGCGGUUACCUCGAUCACUAAUGAGGGUGGAGCAGCCCUUUAUUUAUAGUUGAGGCUCCAGCUACACUUAAUGGAAAUAUCCCUAGAACAAAGGCUAAAAUCAAGGGAUUAUACAGAUUACAAUUAAUCAGGAUGCUAACUCCUAAUUUUUAGGGUCAACCAAAUCUGCUAGGAUGCUCCUGCUGAUCCUGCUUGCUUCCAGAAGCUUCCCUUGCGAUGUCCAGCACCUUGGGCCCUCUGGAUGUGGUGUGAGUAGCUUGUAUGCCAGGCCUUGGUCUCACGGGCUGGCCUGCAAGUUGGGCGGGUGUUCUGAACUCGUUUGCUAGGCUUUGCACACAAAUACCCGUCAACACGCCUGGUCUGCGGGCCUCAACCUCUGGCUCGCCUGUUGGUGCACCUGAUGUGCCUGGCACUCCUGGCCAAGGAGUGACAUUCUCCCCCACCUGAUUGUACAAUGCCCUCAUUGUGUCUUCUGCAUGGUACUACCUGAUCUGGUCCCCGAACUGCCAUAAGUCAUCUAUUAGUUCCCAGCUCACUUCACUAUCUGGAAGUCCCUUUCAGCGCACCAAGUACUCUUGUCUUGGCUGAUAGUUCUUCUGUUUCACCUCUCGAUCAGCUAUGAUGCUAUGGACCUCCUUUCAUAUGAGGCCCUUGCUCCCAAUGGUGCACGCUUUGACUCUACCCAUCCUAGAUCUCCCUCAUCCUCAUGGAACGGCUUUAGCAUGCUCACAUGGAACACCGGGUGUACCCUCAGCUUAGGUGGCAUAUCCAGCUUAUAGGCAACCUUGCCUACCCUCUUGACUACUCGAAAAAGUCCCUCAUACCUCCGAACUAGGCCUUUUUGCAGCCCCCUGUGGCGCACAAUGGGAUACAGCUUCACCAAUACCAAGUCUCUAACCUGGAACUGCAUAUCCCACCUAUUUUGGUCUGUCCACUUCUUCGACCUCUUGGCCGCCUUGUAUAGACAAACUCUGGCCAAGUCAGUUUACUCCUACCAUGCCUUGGCAAACUUGUAUGCUACUGGAUUCGGCCCUGUAUAACCUGCAGCAAUUAAACCAGGUGUUAGUGGUUAUUGCCCUAUCACAACCUCAAAUGGGCUCUGGUUCGUUGCCUCGCUCCUUUACAAGUUGUAGGAAAACUGUGCAAUAACUAGUAGCUUUGGCCAGUCCUUUUAUGUGGCACACACGUAGUGCCUGAGGUAGACCUCCAAUAGUCCAUUCACUCGUUCUAUCUGGCCAUUGGUCUGCGGAUACAUGCUAGUGGAAAAGUUCAAGUCUGACCCCAACAGCUUGAACAACUCAGUCCAGAACCUGUCCGUGAAACGCCUGUCUCGAUCACUAACAAUGGUCCUUGGCACUCCCCAGUACUUAACCAUGUUCUUCAGGAACAAUUGAGCUGCCUCCUCGGCUGGGCACUCCUUAGUUGCUGGAAUGAAGAUUCCAUACUUGGAAAACCUGUCCACCACUACCAUGAUGCUUCCAAACCCUUCUGCUUUGGGUAGAUCGACUAUAAAGUCCAGAGAAACACUUUACCAUGGUCGCUCUGGCACUAGCAAUGGGUCUAAGAGACCCCCUAGUUUCUUGAGCUCUACCUUGUCCUGUUGGCACACCAGACAAGUCUUCAAAUAGGCUUUCACAUCAUCCCUCAUGUGUGGCCAGUAGUACCGGUCCUCGAUCAGCACCAAGGUACGGCUCACUCCGGGGUGUCCAGCCCACCUUGAAUCAUGGCAUUCUUGCAAAACUUCCUUGUGGAGCUUCUCGUGCUAUGGCACAAAUAGUCUACUGCCCCUGGUGUACAACAAACCAUCCUAUAUCCAAAACCACCUAGUCUUGCCUUACUGGGCGUACUCCAUCAGAGCUUUGGCUAUAGGAUCAUGCGUAAGUCCCUUCAUGAUGUGCGGCACCAGUGACCGCUCUGGUUGGCUAAUGAUAGCAAGGUUAGCCUUUCUGCUCAGGGCAUCUGCCACUAGGUUCACCCGUCCUGGCUUGUACUCCAUCUGGAAAUCAAAUUUUGCAAGAAAAUCUUACCAUCUCGCCUGCUUGGGGGAUAGCUUCUUCUACGUCUGAAAGUAGCUGGUCGCCAUAUUGUCCAUCCUCACCACGAACCUCAACCCCAAUAGGUAAUGGCACCAAGUGCACAAGCAGUGCACCACUGCAGUCAUCUCUUUCUCUUGGAUCGUGUACUUGCGUUCAGUCUCGUUUAGCUUCCUGCUCUAGAACGCAACUGGACGUCCCUCCUGCAUCAACAUGCCCCUUAUGGCAAAGUUUGAUGCAUCCGUAUGCACCUCAUACGACUUGACAUGGUCUGGCAAGGCCAAGACUGGCUCCUUGGUCACAACCCACCUUAACCUAUCAAAGGCUUCCUGGCACCCUGCGCUUCACUCCCAUGCUCUCCCUUUCUUGAGCAAGUCAAUCCAUGGCGUGGCUAUUGCUAAGUGACCUUUAAUGAAGUGCCCGUAGUAGUUAACCAACCCAAGGAACAAUCUCAACUCAAUAACCUUGGCUGGCGGUUGCCAUCCUAAGAUGGCAUGUAUCUUGCCUUCAUCCAUUUGUAUCCUACCACCUCCCACUAUGUGGCCAAGGAAAGGAUCUCCUACUGGGCGAAUGAGCACUUCUCCCUCUUGACAAAUAGCUUGUGUGCCCGCAACACCUCGAACACCUGUCUCAAGUGGUCUACAUGCUCUCCCAAAGUCUGGCUGUAGAUCACAAUGUCAUCUAAAUAAACCACAACAAAUCGAUCAAGGAAUGAUUGAAGUACAUUGUUCAUAAGGGUGCAGAAUGUUGUUGGGGCAUUUGUGAGUCUGAAAGGCAUUACCAAGAACUCAUACGAACCAUACCGAGUAACACAUCCUGUCUUUGGCUCAUCUACCUCUGCGAUCCUGACCUGAUAGUAGCUUGACCUCAAAUCCAACUUGGUGAACCACCUUGCACUUCCAAGUUGAUUGAACAAGUCCGCAAUGAGUGGGAUGGGGUACAUGUUCUUGAUGGUCAGCUUGUUCAAAGCUUGGUAGUUUAUGCAUAGCCGCAACAACCCAUCAUGCUUGCGUUGGAAUAGAACCGGUGCACCAUAGGCUACCUUUGAUGGCCCGAUGAAGCCAGCAUCAACUAACUCUUUGAGCUGCUUCCUCAACUCCUCCAACUCUGGUGGAGACAUUCAGUAAGGGAAUCUAGCUGGUGGCUUGGCCUCGGAUACCAGCUCGAUCUUAUGGUCCACCUCUCUCUUAGACGGUAGCUUGCUAGGCAAUUUUGCGGGCAUCAUAUCACUAAAGGUCUUUAGCACCUUUAGCACCUCCAAGGGUUACUUAGUCUCUUUCUCCGUUGGCUCAUCAUAUUUUAGGGCUGCCAAGAAGGUGUUUUCUUGUUUGCUUACCGCCUUGGCAAAUUGGAUGGUUGACACCACCCGCGACCCAACUCCAGACCCUCUCCUCAAUGGCACAAGGCAUUGGCAUCGUGCAUCCAAGAUGCAAACACAAUUGGCAAAAGGCACAAGGAAGGCAUUAAUCCAAACAAGGAAAUCCAACCCAAUCACAAACUCAUAGUCGUCAAGGGGUAUUACCUCUAUGGUCUUCUUGCCUUUCUAGUCUCUAAGCUGCAACUCCACUCCCCGUGCUACUCCAAUGGCUGGAACCUCAUUGGAGUUCACCGUUUUAAUGGUACUAAUCCCUUUUUAUACCUUUAGUUCGAGCUUUCAGGCUCCAUCACCUGAAAUAAAAAGAUGUGAGGCACCUGUGUCUACCAGUGCACUCACCUUCUGACCUGCAACCAUCAGAUUCGCAAACAUCAAGCCCUUUGGCUUGCGGCUCCCCUUACUCUGGAUAGCAUUGAGCACUAAUGACCUAAGCUUUACUGCCCCUGACUCUGGCUCUUCGUCAGACUCCUUGUCUACAGUAGCCAGCUUACCCUUCUGCGGGCAAUUGCACGCUAUGUGGCUCUAUCCACGUAGGUAGCAUGCUAGUGUUUCUCGGUCCCCUUUUGCUUUCCACUUGUCUGCUGGUGGCUUCCUCUCACCAUCCUUGGUUGAACGGUCUCGGUCUCCAUCCUUGGACUCUCGGUCACAGUCUUUCCCCUUAGACUGCUUCUUUUGAUCCCUAUCAUCCCUGCCCUUACUCUUGGGCUUGGUAGACUCGAACCUGUUCAGAGGCUUGAACUCUAUCAAGGCCUCAACAGUAGUCAUGGCUUUAGACAAGUCAUGAACUCCGUUUUUUUGUAGCUCAUGCUUCACCCACAACUUCAGCCCAUCCAUGAAAGCAAAUAAGGUGUCCUUCUAGCCUAGAUCUGAGAUCUACAGCAUCAAUUCAAAGAAUUUUUGGACAUACUCCCUUAUGUCCCCUUGCUGGCUAAGCCGGUAUAACUUUGCCCGUGCCUCAUCAUCGGUAUACUCUAGGUAAAACAAUUCUCUGAACUCCUUUUGGAACUCUGUCCAGGUUCCAAUCUUGGCGCUCCCAUGCCUGACAUCAUCACACCUAUGCCUCCACCACAAUAAGGCUACAUCAGUGAGAUACAUAACAGUGGUGCUUACCUUUAUCGCCUCGUCUUGCAUGCCCAUGCCCUGGAAGUACUGCUUCAUACCUCAAAGGUAGUUGUCUACUUCCUUAGCCACCUUAGUCCCCUUGAACUCCUUAGGCUUGGGGACAUCCAAUCUAGAUUUGGACACUCUGACAAACAUGCCAUUCCCAAUGGCAGUCUUGCAAGCAACGAGCUCACUGGUAAGCUCUUCCAUCUGCUAGCAUGGCCUCCAUGCCAUCGUGCAAGGUCAGCACUUCAGCCUCCAAGGUCUGAUUCUUUUGGGUGAACACAUCCAAGCCUUUGUUGAAAGUAGCUUGCAGCUCACUUUGGAUCUCCUCCCUCAUGGAGUCUAGCGAUGCAAUGUGAGUCUCUACCCCUUCAAGCUUUUCCCCCAUGUUGCCCAUGGUCACCUCCACCUUGGCCAACCUACCGUCCAUGGUAAACCAGAUAUCUCUAGAACUGGCUUUCCUCUCUCUUCCAUGCCCAUGCUCAUGGGCCUCUGGUUGUUGGUUAGCAGCGUCACUUUGGGAUGCCAUCUCCUCAAUCAUGAUCUAACCAGCACAACACAAACACGCAGAAUCGAACUUGCUCUGAUACCAACUGUCAUGGGCUCUGACCUUAGACUCAGAAUCCAUGCGACCUUAGGCUUGGAAUCUCCUCCUUUAUGCCUAAGUCAGCCUAAAACACAAGCAUGCAGGCACUAGAACAGUGGGAAGGGCUAAUUAUGCAACUUAAAGAGAAAUAGGAUAAGAAGGCAAAAUUUUGGAAAUGCUCUUGUAUUCACUGAAACAGAGGUGUUUGAUGGUGUACCAAUAAGGGUGGAACAGCCCUCUAUUUAUAGUUGAGCCUCCAGCUACACUUAAUGGCAAUAUCCCUAGAAUAAAGGCUAAAAUCAAGGGAUUAUACAGAUUACAAUCAAUCAGGAUGCUAAC